rnacentral:rRNA from 1 species
AGUCGAGCGAGCGGAACCAACAGAUUUACUUCGGUAAUGACGUUGGGAAAGCGAGCGGCGGAUGGGUGAGUAACACGUGGGGAACCUGCCCCUAAGUCUGGGAUACCAUUUGGAAACAGGUGCUAAUACCGGAUAAUAAAGCGGAUCGCAUGAUCAGCUUUUGAAAGGCGGCGUAAGCUGUCGCUAAGGGAUGGCCCCGCGGUGCAUUAGCUAGUUGGUAAGGUAACGGCUUACCAAGGCGACGAUGCAUAGCCGAGUUGAGAGACUGAUCGGCCACAUUGGGACUGAGACACGGCCCAAACUCCUACGGGAGGCAGCAGUAGGGAAUCUUCCACAAUGGACGCAAGUCUGAUGGAGCAACGCCGCGUGAGUGAAGAAGGUUUUCGGAUCGUAAAGCUCUGUUGUUGGUGAAGAAGGAUAGAGGUAGUAACUGGCCUUUAUUUGACGGUAAUCAACCAGAAAGUCACGGCUAACUACGUGCCAGCAGCCGCGGUAAUACGUAGGUGGCAAGCGUUGUCCGGAUUUAUUGGGCGUAAAGCGAGCGCAGGCGGAAAAAUAAGUCUAAUGUGAAAGCCCUCGGCUUAACCGAGGAACUGCAUCGGAAACUGUUUUUCUUGAGUGCAGAAGAGGAGAGUGGAACUCCAUGUGUAGCGGUGGAAUGCGUAGAUAUAUGGAAGAACACCAGUGGCGAAGGCGGCUCUCUGGUCUGCAACUGACGCUGAGGCUCGAAAGCAUGGGUAGCGAACAGGAUUAGAUACCCUGGUAGUCCAUGCCGUAAACGAUGAGUGCUAAGUGUUGGGAGGUUUCCGCCUCUCAGUGCUGCAGCUAACGCAUUAAGCACUCCGCCUGGGGAGUACGACCGCAAGGUUGAAACUC